GCUCGCUCGUGUUCGGCUCGAUAACAAUUCAAAUAUAUAUAUUUUAUAUUUAUAUAAUUUAUUUAAUUUAUAUUUAUAUAUAUUUAUAUAUGUAAAUAAAUAAUUAUAUAGAGUAGGGCUAUUGUACUGUUAGGCACACAUCAGCCCUUAUGCUUCUAAAUUCCUAACUAUCCAUCAAUUUCUCCUCAAUUUAUCUUCUCUCUCUAAUUUAUCUUCUCUCUCUUAUCCUAACCACUCAUUAAAAUUGAUGGAUGGUUAGAAAUUUAGGAGCACAAAGGCUACUAUACUCCUAAUACCACAGUAGUCCUACUCUAAUUAUAUAUAUAAUAUAUACUAGUGUAGUUAACCGCACGAUGCGGCGGAUAGAUAUUAUCAAAGCAAUUAUUUUUUUAGUCAUUGUUGAUCAUCGAUAAUAUUUUAGAGAAAUAAGUCUAAAAUAUACAGUUCAUCAAAUACAUAGAAAAUGAUACUCUAAAUAUGAAAUGAAGAACAUUAGUUUAAAUAGUUCACAAGAAUUGGUAAAAAACUACUAAAAAAUAAUUUUUUAUUUGUAUUCACUCAACAAUCUAUACAAUUAAACUCAAAGUCAAGAAGCAAGAUAUAAAAUCUUUAGAAUUAAACAGUGUACAGGAAACAUGAAUAACGUAAACAAUCGUACAUACAAAUAAAUUACAGGAUAUGUCCGAAAUUUACGGGCUCUCCCUUAUAGAGAGGAGCAAUAAGGGUACCAAAGGCUAAGAUCCUCCUUGUCGAUGAUGUUGAACCUCUGGCGAAAAUACUUGUGAAGAACCUCCCCAACGACAUUUGAUGCCUUGUUUGCCACCUCAAGAAUCUGAUCUAUACAGUUGAAAAUUAGAUUGAUCAAAGACGAAAUCAAUAGAAAAUAAUGUGAAACCCUACCAAUUCGAGGCGAUUUUGAACCGUGGGCGAGAUUUGCCAAAACUUCUUGAGCAUUCGUAGAGAGAGAGAUUAGUGAUGGAUAAAUACUGCUAAUAAUUCAAUAGAGAUGAGACGAUUAUAUUAACAAAAUCUCUAAAACAAAAAAAAAAAAGAAUAUUAGUAGUUUAGCAAGGUUCUUAUCAAGGAUCUUGAUGAACUGGUUCAAAGUGGGGAGCACCUUCAACCUCUGCUUGAGAAUCCUACUCUGCCACUGGAUCUGCAUCACCUUCGGCCACUUCACGAAGCAAAUGAAGUCCCUCUUCGGCUACAGGGCUCUGCCGAUCCUGAAGGGGAUCAUUCCAUGACGCCGCUUUGAGUAUAGCUUCGGGGGGUACAGAAGAGGCAGAAAUCCUAAAAGAGGGAGUGUGAGAGAUAAAGAAAAGAGGGUUUAUAAAGAGCGUGUGGAAAAAGUGCCAACAAAUCUCACAUGAUCUCGACCAUUGGAUAUAUUGAUGAGGAAAUGAUCGGUUUAUGUCGAUCGUUCGAUUGAAGAUUUUAAGGGUUUGGAUUAAAAAUGAUGUGGGGUGUCUUUUUUGCCAAGACUCAUAGUGGUUAGGGAAGAAUGGGGAGUUAUAAAAAGGGGGGAAGACGGAGGGACGCGGGGAGAAGAAAGGAAGAAGGGAAGACGGGAGGACACAUGAGUUAUAUAGAGAGAAAAAGAGGAUAUGGUGGCUGUGGAGAAGAAUGAGGAGUUAUAGAGAGGAGGAAGACGAAGUGACACAGGGAGGGGAAGAGAAGACGGGGGACACUGGGGUUACAUAGAGAGAGAGGGUAAGCAAGCCAUCUAAAUGUGAAAAAAAAAACUCUCAAAGCAAGGAUGUUGCGCCACGUCAGCAAAAUUAUUGGAAAAUAAUAUAUGUUUAUAGAUAUUUAUUUAUUAUUUGAUCUUUAGCUAAAAAAAUAUAAAGCCGAGCUCAAUUAUAAAAAGACUCAUUUAUAUCUAAAGUUUCAACUAUUAAAUCAAAGUCUAAUAGGUAAGAUUUUAUAAAUUUAUUUUUUAUAUAUAUCCAAUCUAAUACAUUUAACUUAUUAUUCGUUGGUCAACUCGCGUUCGGUUCGUUUAUUAACGAGCCAAAACGCAAGCUGAAUUUUCAGCUCGAUACUUAACCAACUAGCUCGUGUUCGGCUCAUUUAUUAAACGAGCCGAACACGAACCGGCCCCAGCUCGCUUGUGUACGGUUCAUUGACACCCCUAGUGAAUAUUUUCUUUCUUUGUGUGUUUUGUAUAGAUUUUUUUUCAAUUAGUAUGGAAUAUUCUUUUGCGUGUGUGUGAAAAAUGUUCUAUACUAAAUAUCUUCUAAUUGGCAAAAAUUUAAAUAAGCUUGAAUUUUUUUUAUAUUUCCAUAAAUGGAAUGCAAUAUUUUUUAUUUUUUUCCACUAAAACAAUGAGUCUCUCAAAAAUUAUUUUAAUAGUUAUCUCAAAUUAACAUAAAUUUAUCCAUCAUAUUUAUCCAAAAAUGUAUAAUAAAAAUUUAAAUUUUUUUAAAAAUAAAUUUAUUUGUUAUAUUUUAUUUGAAAACACCUAUCAUAUUCAAUAGUUAAUACCGAUAAUAAUUAUGUAGUUCUUUUUUUUAUAUAUACAUUGAAUAAUUCUUUAUAUUUUUCGAAAAAAUUUAAGUAUUCAUUUUAAACUAAAAAGUGUAGGAACUUUAAUUCAAAUUUCAUUCAAAAUUCAAAAUUUAAUUUUGAUCCACUUUAAUUAAAAUUUUCAAUUGUUAAUUGAAAUUUAAUACCCAAAAUCAAAUUUAAUUCACGAUUUAAACUAAAAUUUUAAUUUUAAUUUAAAAAUUCAUAGAUUUAAAUUUAAAUUAUAUAAUUAAAUUUCAACUCUGAAUUUCAUAUGUUUAAAAUUAAAUAAAAUUAAAAUUUAGAUAUAUACUCUUAUGAGUAUAGAACUCUUUGUAGUCAUAAGUUUUCAACCGUUAGAUAAAAGGAUGUGAGGUUAGGAUGAUAGUGGUCCCCGGUUAGGUUAAUAGUAGUCCCCCAGGGUUGAGUGGGUGGUUGGUUGAAUAGUAUGAUCUAACGGAUGGAAAUGGUUAAAGGAGUAGAUCUAACGGUCGAAAACUUAUAAGUACAAAAGGGAAUAUACUCAUAAAAAUAUAGUAGCCAGACUUUAUAUAUAUAUAUAUAUAUAUAUAUAGAGAGAGAGAGAGAGAGAGAGAGAGAGAGAGANAUUAAUAAAUUUGGGAAUCCAAUAUAGAUUAUGACUUGGAUCAAAUCGAUUUUUUUUUGAAUUGUUAUACGUGCAAUUCCUUCGAAACCUGAGGAUAUUUUCCUAUUUUUUUGUACAUAGUUCUUGAUACAAUUCCGUAUUUUUUCAUCUUCCUGUAGACCCGCGGAAUAAUUUUUUGGUUGUGUGAACCAAAAGGAAUGAUGACUUUGAGUUGUACCAAGUCUGAAACCAAGUGGAUUCAUUUUUUGUCCCAUAUUUUUCUAAUAUAUAUAUAUAUUUUUUUUUUUUUUUUUAAAAUUAACGCUCAAGGACAUGCAUAGGCAAAGUAAUUAUCUUUAUAGAAAAAAAUCAACUCCGAAAUUAUUCAAGUACCAAAUAUUUGCAGUAUCAAUAUUAACUUGCUAUGACCGAUCGCUCCUAACGCAAGUGACAAAAAGCUUAGUAGUUGGUAUCCGAAGUCCAAAGUUCGAAUCCUAAUUAAUUCUCGAAUCCUAGUUGAUUCAUAUUUCCGGCCAAAUUUAUUUCUAAAAAAAUAAACAAAAUGAACAGCAUACUACCUAUCUCUCAAAAAAAAAAAAAAAAUUGCUAUGAUUUCAGAGUUCUGUAAUGACUCUAGUAAGUUAUGUACAUAACAAAUAGUUCAUGUUUAAACACAGGGCUCUUUAAUUAACAUUGUUAAAGAACAUAGCAGAAGCAUUUUUUACUCACAUAUUUCUCAUCACCUGUAAAUAAUUUUUCUGCAGGAAAAUCAUUACAAGAGCAUUUACAUUGCAGAGCACCAAAUAGAAAAAAAAUAACAAGUGCUUAAGUUACAAUCAUGAGCUAUUAGCAAAUGCAUCAUGAAAAAAGUGGUACUAGAAUGAGUGAUGCUAUAUCCGCGAGCAGAUUACGAGUUCGUAAAACAAGCGUGCGGUGCAAUUCGCAUGUUUGUAUGGUUCAUGGCAUGUCGCACAACCACUGCUUCCAGAAAUGCUGGUACUUUGCGAACUUGACGCAUUUGAGCUGAAGUGUUAGCUUUUUUUUUUUGGUCAAUCAUAAGAAAAAUGAGGAACUGUCAGACCCUCGGUUUUUUGUUAUUGGCCUUUUCAUCCUUCUCGUGAUCAGCCUUCUUCAUUUUCUUGAUGGAAUCCAGAAGGGAAAGCUUCCCUUGGUUGGUCGAUGACUUUGCGAAAGGAUUUGCUGGUCGGUUGGAUUCUCUGUGAUCGCUGCCAUUGCUCGAACAUGUUUCACUUCUGUCUUUCAACUCUACUCGAUCAUUGCCUUCUUUAGUAGCUCCUCGAUUUGUAAUCUUGAGAAUGUCGGUAUCGCCUUCUUUCUUAGCCUUCUCUUCUAUCUUCCUCUCGUGAUCUUUUGAAACUUUCGGUAUCGCCUUCAGGGGCAUCGUUGCAGAUCCGUCCUUCGACUCUUUGCUUCGCUCUUGCUUUGAAAAGUGAGCUGCCGGCAAUGUCAGUGGCGGUUUACUUCCCGAUGGCUCAAUUUUUAUGGUUUCGGAUGUCAAAGAAGCUUUAAUUGGUGGCACGUUUUUUGCAACCGUGGCAUUGGAAUCGACACUUGGAAUACCUCGUGGCCCCUUCGAUUCACUAAACAUUCUUUCCUGUAAGCAGUAGUAGUUUUACCGACAGAGUAAAACGAGAAAAAUCAUGCUCAUUUACGAGACCAUGAAAGAAGAUACAAGCGAAAAAACACUUCAACUAGCUUAGGAGAAAAAGGAGUUGGAUUUACCUCCAAUAUGUUACUAAACCGCUCCGCCAACAUGGGAAGUUUCAGGGCGGUGACAAGCUUUAUUGCGCCCUUUACGGACUUCUCCAAGGAGAGUAAUUUAACCAGUUCAGUGGCUCUGACAAGCUUAUCGCCUUUAAACAGGCAUCAAAGGAAAGAAAAAUUACCAUUAGGCAAAAUAUCAAGUACUCAAGACAAUUUAUAAUAAAUAAGUCUGAGGUCUUUAAUCACCAUUGCAACAGCUGGCGAUAAGCCUCAAGAUGCAUCGGUCAAUCGCAGCUUCUGUGCUGAAGGCCUCAUCAUCAAGUCCGGUUGUGUCCUGGCCAGAAGCCACCAUCUCUUCUAUUUUCUUUUGCAUCUGAAGUUUCGGAUUAAGAUGAUUCAGCAAUUAUAAUAAAGGCGUCGAAUUGCAAGAAAGGAGUACGAAAAUAAACCUGCGAGAGGUGUAGGUUGCUUAUUAUGAACUCAUUUUCAAGAUCAGCAGCCCCGAGAUCGGAAGAGGCAAGCGGAGAAGAAAGAUCGAGUAUUGUCAACAGUGGCUUGGGCAUCACCUGUAAUAGAUUACAACCGAAUCAGUUACGGGAAAAAGAGAUUAUAAAAUAUAGAAAUUAUGGAAUGAAAGAAGUUAAAGGGAUUAUACCGAUGGGUAAGUAUCAGGGGAUUUGCAAACGAUGCAGAAUAACUUGCUAGAAUUCAAUCCCACUACCCAGUGGCUUUCGUCUUCAGAUUUCCUUGCUUUGAUUGAACUAAAGAGCACAAAACUGUAGUCAGUUGCCGACCACAUUUUGAGACGAUGUCUAAUGAGGAGGUAUCGUUAGUACCUGAAGAGAGGAAGCCAACUACCGCCAAAUUGGUCGCAGAACACCCUCAGUACCCCCUGUGCAGUUCACUUUCAAGGCUCAAUACAAAUAUUGCUUGAUUAAGGCUAAACUACGAGAAACCUACUAUAACUGUAGGGAUAUUCACUUUGCCACUGUGAAAUUUAAGACCUAUGUUUCACCCCUUUGAAAAAUAAAGUUUGUCACUUUGCUCAUUGGUUGAUAGGGAGAAAUGUAGUUUGUGUCGCCAGGUGAAAAUCGUGAUACUUGUCAGGGUGUGUCAAACAUUUUUUUAGCCUUCUUUUAAAGCAACACACUUAAAAAUUCCUGGUAAAUUUGAAGAGUACCUUGGAGUCGUAUGAACUUAGCCGGCCUUCUUCACUAAAGCCAAACCAUGUUAGAGAAGAACAGGGUGUCAAGGGUAGACGACAAUUAACAGAUUGGGUUCCCUUGGAAAUGUUAAAUACCUUGACUUUCAGCAUCUGCCAUAGCAAAAUUAAUAUUCUAUCAUUCACUUUUGCGAAUAAAGCUAAAAGAACAUUUGGAGACUACAAAAGAAAAGUAGCUAAAUAAGAGGGAAAAAAGGGUCACAUUGAGAAGGGGCCAUACCUGAUCUCCUGAGGGAAGACAGUCGGAAGCAUGAGUCACGACUGCCAACAGAUCUCUGAAACCUGCUGCAGUAACCACAGGCCCAGUGACAGAAAGGAUGUGUCUCUGCAAUUAUCAAGGAAAAAGUGAGACAAUUCCUGUUUCACGUUAUGAUUUGCGGCAAAUCCAGAACUCAUAAUUAUAGUUUUAUAUAAGCUUCGAGUUUUUGUACACAACUGGGGAAUGUUCAGUUAAGGUAUAAUUGAAAAGAGACCUAGAAUGAUCAAAAUGGAAUCACCAAUUAGACUUUACACAUUUAUACUAAAAUAUAAAACUAGAGUUAAGUGCCAGCUUUAUUUUCUGAACCUACAUAUUUUGCUCGCCUCUAUAGGCCCAUCUGUAAUUAUGGGAAGUAGUUUGCAUGAUUACUUCUCUAUUGUAACUUAAACAUUUUGUAUUUUACCAUUCUUUGUUCAAUGAUAUUGCUCGGCAAACUCUCAAAAAAAUAAUCGAGAGAAAGAACAGUCAUCUCGAUUUAAUUUAUUCUCCUAAGUUGAACAUGCCAGUGACAGUUCUAUUUGAAGAUCUCUUGAUUGGUGAUCAAGAUCGACCUUGGACAACCAAAGGCUGGUAGGAGAGGAAGUUAUAAGAACUUCCAAAUGUCUAGUCACAUUUGUAUAAAGCAUACCUAACUAAAUGCUUACUUGACUAAAGAUAGAUUUAUCAUAGUCACCCGUGUCUUAGAGAGGACAGAAACGCUACAAACGAAAAAUUAGGAGAAUGUCGAAGACUCAAUUCGCGAAUGAUGCUUGAAGAUCCUACAAGAUGAAGCCUCUCCUUGUAAUGAAAGUAAUACCAUUUUAGAUGAACAAAGUGUUUGGGACCACAAAUGUUGAACAAAAUGUAGAAAAGCAGUAAUGUGGUUUAAUAAAGAGAUGGAAGAGUUUCUUUCUUUCUUUUUUUUAAUCUUUUUCCAUCUUUACGGUGAUACAUUUUCUUUUAAGUGGGUGAAAACCUAAUUUAAGGAUGUUACAGCUACUUCUGGACUAGAACUUGUAGCGAAAUAGAAGAUCAAAUUACAGACCUGCAAGCCACCCUCAGUGAAGAUGCGGAGGAAAUUAAGGCUAGUAACUGCAGCCACCCAUCCUGUGCCUAGGGCCACAGCUUUCACUUCCUCUCCUUCGAAUCUCAUAGACCACUAAGUCCACAACAUAUAAUCAGCAUCAGUACGCAUUCACCCAAAAAAUUGAGAAAUUUAAUUCUAAAUGCAAAGAAGAUAACAGAAAAAGCCUACCUCACUAUUAUUAGCCCAACUACUAAAAGGGCGAUACAUAAGAGUACUCAUGUUCUUUUCCCCUUUGCAAGGAUUUGCAAAGACACUCCCAUUUUCAUUCAAUGAAGCCAUUGUAAAACCAAAAUAGUCGGUCAUAGAAGGAACUCUAGGACCGCUUCCAGUGUCAUGAAAGUCAACCUGUUAGCAAAGAACACCAGGUAAAACAUAAGGGGUUAUAUAUAUCAUGCACCGUGUUGUUAUGAGGAAAUCCACAAUGAAUACACAUUUACAUCAAAUCCAAUUACCUCCACAUGGGAAUAUCCCUCAUUUUCCAAGGUAGUAAUGCAGCCGAGCAUGUUGUAGGAAAGAAACCGCCGCUUCCCAUGCUGAGAAGGGGUCGAGCCAGGUUGGAACGCCUCCUGCAUUCUUGUACUUCUCAACUUUCCCGAAAUCACACACUCUUCCUUCCCCUUUCCAGCACUCUCCUUACACUUCGUGCUAUUUCUUUUGCGUGACUCAAUCUGAUGAAGCAGAUCAUCCUCCCCCUCACUAUCUCCAUUAGAGUGGUCGGUGGCAUAUACCGCCGAUCUUUUCCUUAAUCUUUUAUGGCUAGUUGGAGCCGACUCGCCAUGACUUUCAUCGAUAACAUCAUCCAAACUGCCAGAUGUGCUAGGCUUCUCAUCUUCAUCAUCAAAUAAAAGACUCCCAUUCGUAUGCCUCCCUUGUAGGCUAGGAGCACCAUCGAUAGGGGACUUCAUGGAUGGAGGAACUACAGGUUCCCAGAUGCCGAACUUACCCAUAACAUCGAUCACGGCCAAAGCAUUUCCGUUCGGCUUCCAAGCCAAGCAGGAUAUCCUCUCGUCAAACUUCUGCCGUUCUAUGUCCUGCCUUAAUUCCACAUCCCAUAUUAAUACCUGCUUAUCCAGCCCUGAAGUCGCUAAAUACUUCCCGUUUGGCGACCAGCACAGAGCACAAACCGAUCGCUCAUGAUCUCCUUUCAAUGUAAACAAUUUCUCUCCCGUGUCUCUAUCAUACAUAACGACAUCAUUUCUUAAACCCGGAACAGCUAACAUUUCUCCAUCGGGCCUCCAACUCAGUACAUUCGAUAUCGAAUUAUCUGAAUCAGUGUUAGGGGCUACAGCUUUAAGCGUAUGCAGUGGCUUUCCCGACGAGAGCUCCCAAUAGACGACAGUACCGGACGAAUCCAUAGAGGCCAGGAACUCAUUUUUGGGAUCGAAAGACAAACUUGUUACGGAUCCUCUGUGGCCCUUGAGCACCUUUGAUAUGGUGUUAUCGAUGGUGGCGAUCAACUUGAUCCCAUCAUCGUCACCGGCUGCGGCUAACAAGCUACCAGAUCUAUUGAAGGCGAGGGAUCGGAUAGGUAAAGUGAACCGCGUAAUGUUGCUCUGGAAUUCUCCUUCUGGGUGAGAAGAACAAACUAUAUUAGAAAGGAAGAUUGCCACAUGGCAAACGCAAAGCAAUUAAACUAGCAGCGGUAACACAAAUUGAGUCUACGGUCCAUUAUUAUUGGUUAGUUCGGCUAUAUAGAUUCAAUUCCUCCAUUUACGCAUAUGUCGGAAACCUUUUUUUCAUCAAACCAAACACUAUAGCAAAAUGUUUAGAAGAACAAAACAUCAUUAAACAAAAAUAAAAUCCGCUCCCUCGACAUACUGGUAUAGUAGAGAAUCGACUCCGUCAUUAUCGCCAAUUUGGUUAACUAAAUGCUUUAAAGCGACAUCACUACGCACUCUCAUUCCUGUUUGAUGCAAUGUUUCCAAAGUGCAAUUUUAAAGCACAAAGCGGGUAAAAAAGAAGCCCCACAUGAUUGAAGAGAAAGAUUAAAAAUGGAUGGAGACCUUAUAAACUACAGCCAUUCUAACAAUUAAAUUGGGCACUGCAGUAACUUCCGAUUUCUUCUCAUCUUGGUGAUUUUAGUCAAUUAAAUUGAGCAUUUUUUAGCAAAAAUUAAAGAUCAAAAUGACCCAUUUUUUAAAAUGCAAAACUCUAUUUCAUAGAUUGAAACAAAUUUGAGGAGAUCGACAAAGGGAUCGAACAUUUGUGAUAACCAUUUCCCCAAAUAACACCAUCUUAUGGGAAUUCCUACAUAAAAAUACCAUUUUUGCAACAAAAAACCCAAAUUAGUGAAACGAAAUGGAUAUUUCUAUCGAUUGAGGAGAAAUUGAGGGGAUCGCAGAACGGAUCGAGCACCUGGGAAGCUGUAGAGCUUGACGGAGUGAUCGAUGGAGCCCGAGGCGAGGGAUCCGCAGAUCGGGCCGAGGGCAAGGGCAAGGGCGGUGACCCCGUCCCUGUGGUGGCGUAUCGCCGCGGGGGGCCUCGGCGGGUGGGCGACGAGGUCGUGGACCGACACCGAGGCGUCCGCGGCGGAGGCGGUGGCGACGCGGCUCCCGUCGGGGCCCCACACGACGGAGCAGAGGGAGGCGGCGCCGGAGCCCCUGUGCGCCUCCCGGAGCUUCACCGAUCGCCCUUUCAUGGCGAUCCUCCUCGUCGUCGUCGUCGUCGUCUCCUCCGCAGCGUCGUGCUCUGGUUUGCGAGGUAGGGUUUGGAGUAUGGUGUUUGUUAUUAGGGUUAGGGUUUUUGUGUCUUUUUCUUUUUUUCUUUUUUUUUGGUUAAUUUUUGGCGGGAGAGAGAUUUGGCGGGAAAGUUUUUAGGGUUUAGGGGUUUUUGCGCGGGAGUUUGGAAAAGCGGGUUGAGUUGAUUCGGGCGACUAGAACGGACCCGAAUCCGUUAAACAAUUAAAAAAUAUAUAAAAUAAAUAAUUUAGUAGGUAAAAAUGUACGGAGAUCCCUCAACUAUAAAAUAUUUCGAACGCGGCCACUUAAUUUCAAACUUUCUUACUAAGACGUUCUAAGUUUUUAUUUUUUUAAUAAAAGAAUACAGAUUUUAUCAAUUUUUUGAAUUACAGAUUAGGAAUUUUGUAAAGUAUUUUACUAAUUUUAUCAAAUAAUAAUUUUAGCCAUUUAAAUAACUAAAAUAACUCCAGGAAAAAAUGCAGAGGGCGUAAAUGCAAAAAAAAAAUAAAGUAGAGAGAGUAAUUUCAGAAUAUACUAUAGUUGACGGGUCUCCAUAUAUUUGUACAACUGAUGACCGUUAUAGUGGAUAAUAAUAUCAAAAUCGAUAAAUCGAUUACCAUCUUUAAGUAUUUUUAAAUACAUUCAAAAUCUAAAUUUAAAUUUAUAAUUUAUACUCAAAUUUUGAAUUCAAAAUUAGAAUUUCAAUUUCAAUUUGAAAAUUUUUGAAUUCAAAAUCUAAAUAUGAAUUUGAAUUGAUAUUCCAAAUCAAUAUCUGACUCUGAAUUAAAAAUGUGAAUUCAAACUCUGAAGUUAAAUUGUAAAAAAUUAACUUCUAAGUUUGAUUUGUAGGUUGAAUUUGUAAUUUUAGUUCAAAAUCUGAAUUACAAUGCAAAUUUUGAAUUCAAAAAUUAAAAUUUUGAAUUUAAAAUCUGAAUGUGAAUUAACUUCCUCGCAAAAAAGAACAUAAAUAUCUUUAAUCUACUAUAUACAUAUAUAUAAUAAUAAUAUUAAUAAUAAUAAUAAUAAAACAAAAAUAAAUAAAUACCACUUCCCAAAAUGUGAAAAACCCUUCUCACUUGAGACUGGAGAGAGAGAGAGAGAGAGAGAGAGAUUUAGUUUCAUGGCUUCUAAUAAUAAUAAGCCCCAGUUUGUGAAAGUGCUUCUACCAGGCUUCUUGGAAAAGCUGGUAUUAGUAUAUUAUGAUUAUUAUUAUUAUUAUUAUUAUUAUUAUUAUUAUAUAUAUAUAUAUAUGCACUACUUUUCCUUCUAUUUAUCUUUAAUUUCUACUUCUCACAAAUCAUCAUUGGUAUUUUUAUUUUUUUCAAUCUUGCAUUAAAUUUUUCAGAAAAUGCCAUGAUUUUUUUUUUUUUUUUGGGCUGUUGUUGUGAAUCACUUUGAAAGUAAUUUUAGAAGUUUUAAUCCUCUUUAAAGUUCCAGAUAUGCUGGAAACUUCAGAUCUCAAACAAAGAGAAAAUAAAUAUAUAUAAGUAGUGAGUAUUAUCCGAAAAGAUCGAUAUGAUAGGAAAACAAUCAGAAAUAAUCUUAACACACUCGUUCACGUGUAUAAUAGACGAUCAGGUAAGAUCGAUUUUAUAGAAAACGACUCAGGAAAUAUCUUAACACGCACUCUGUGAGUAACUUGGAAUCAUGGAUUAUCCACAAUUUAGCACAUUUUGUGUGAGAGCAAUAAUUUUUUUUUUUUUGUGAUUAAGUUUUAAUUGGUUGUAAUUUGCCUUGCUGUUGUAGUUGUUUGUUAUUGCUGUUGUAGUUGUUGUUAGUGUUCUCUUUGAUUUUUUUUUUUUUUUUUUUUUUUUUCUGGAAUAUGAAAUUGAGAGAAAGGAAGUAAGGUGUGAUUGUGAAUCACUUUGGAAAUUUUGGUAAGGAGGAUAUAAUAAGAUUGGUGGGUAUUACUCGAAAGAUCGAUCUGACAGAAAAUAGUUUUGAAAUAGUCUUAACAUUCUCGCUCACACGUAUAAUCGAGAUUGUGUGAGAGAUUAGGCAUAGGUAGGGGAUGGGAUGAUGAAUUGGAGCAGAUUGAAACUCGUUAUGAUACCAUGUUACUUGCAAGAUCGAUCUGACAGGAAACUGCCCAUGAAUAGUUUCAGUUGUGGGCUUAUGAAUAUCUUCGUCGGAAAUUGAAAAGUACAAGCUCAUGUAUUGUGUAUCAGGAUUCUUGUGUAAACUCUAGCACUGAUUUAUCAUGCGAUGAUGCGAAAAACAGAAAAUUGCUAAUUUUCUCAUAAUUAAACAUGCAAUUUGAUGUAUAUUUUGAUAAGUUCCGUAGCUAUGCCACACUUUUACCAUUUGUUGCAGCCGAUUCCAAAUCCAAUAGCCCAGCUGCUCGCGAAAGGGCGUGGCGAAACUGCAACCCUGUUUAGCCCACUCGGCAAAUUUUGGCACAUCACCCUGCAGAGAGACGUAGACGACGGUAUGUACUUCGACAGCGGUUGGCGAGAGUUCUCGCAAGCCCACAAUUUGGUCGCGGGCUGCUUCGUCGUGUUUCGCUACGAAGGAAACAUGGUCUUCAAGGUCAAGGUGUUCGACGCGAGCGGAUGCCGUAAACAGUACGAUAAGAUCGCCCACGGAAUUGUGGAAGAAAUAUCUGUCGACAGCAAAGACGAGGAACCUGAUGAAGUUCUUAUUAUCGGUGAGUACUACUAGUUUAAAUGAAAAGCAAGUAAAGUAUCACUAAUCUGCAGCACUUUUAUCGAUGUAUCCGGACAGCAUAUUUAUCUGUCAGUAUAGACCUGCAGUCGAAGUGUUACACUUUUUUGAGCUUUCAGCAGCACAAAGAACUGUCGAUAUAUCGAUAUCUUGUUGCAGUUAUUUCAUUUUCUUUGAGAAAGUAUCUCUGAUCUUCUCAUGUACAUGAUCAUAUCAAUUUCUAUGUGUAUUUCACUUCAUAUAUGUAAGUGUCAUUCAGAUGAUCAGCAAAAUCUUUCAACAUGCUCGAGAAAGCGAAGGAAAUCCGCAAGGCUGAAUUCUAAAAGCUCUGCGCAGCAGCAAGGUAAUGGAGAGCCGCGCACUCCACCGGUUUUUCGAUCGAAGAAUAAAUCGGUGGAGAAGAGCAACAAUUCUGGAGACUAUCCACCGCACUUCGAGAAGAUAAUUAGACCUUACAACUUCUCUUGUUUUCGCAUGGUUAGUUCAUUUGAUUAGCUCUUAAUUUCCUAACUCUUUAUAUUUCUUGCAAAAUAAUCCGUUUUCCUUUAAAAAAGUUUGUAGAAAACAGUGUUUUAUUAUUUUUGUAGGGAAUAAAAUGUAUGAAUUGUACUUGUACUAUUCCAAUAUUGAAACUCAGUUCUUGUGCUUUUCUCAUGAACUUUUAGUAUGUGCUUGGCGAUGCGGUACAGGCCGCGUUCACAGUGUGAAAAGAUGUAAUAUUUCUAACAAAACUUACUCUUCUAUUGUAAGUGAUUCAUUUAUUUUACUUUACAUCAAACAUGAUUAAAAUAUCAUUUUUAAUAAAAAUUUAUCUUUUUAAUGGUCAGAGACAAAAAAAAUAUAAUAAAUGUGAAAGUUUAAGGACUAGUAUGUUUUCAUUGAAAGUAUACAGAUCGAGUUGCGAUAUGGGAAUAGUGCACGGAAUAUCCAUUCAUUUUACCCUAUUGGAUGUCCAACCUUUUUUGCUCUGAUAUCACGUGAAAUAAUCGCGUUUUCUCUAAAAAUUUAAGCUGUCAGAGUGCGGUGUUUUAGUAUGUCAUGUUCAACUUUUCUAAAGGUUCGUUAACUUGUAAUUCACUAACUGCUGUUGCUUCAAUGGUGGUGGAAAUCAAUAAAAUGUAGAGUGUGCCGAAGGAGUUCUGCGCGUCGCAUGGACUCUUGAGGAAGGAGGAGAUGACACUCAAAGAUCCAAAGCAGAGAUUAUGGCCUGUGAAAUUGUGGCAGGGCAAAAGGCAAAUCCGAUUCUCGAAGGGGUGGAUGGACUUCUCUAUGGGGAACAAGUUGGAAGACGGAGAUAAGUGCAUCUUUCAGCUUGUUUCCAGCGAGGUUAUGCAAGUGAUCAUACAGAAACGCCGCGCGUGAAAGUCUGACAAUCCAUCUUUAGUUACGAUCUUCGUUGAUCUUCUGUUAUCUGUUCUGUUUCAUGGUUGUUCCUUUAACUACUAGUUUUGUAUCUUUCUGGCUUCGACAUACGCUGAGAAAGUAAAAGAUUGUUAGUCUAGUGCUACUGUUCUGUGGAUUAUGCUCGAACUGUCGCAGGUGCGUGGCUGUAACCGUUUUUCAGAGGAUGUUAUCUUGAUCCUGAAUCAUUCAAUCAGUGCAAUUCAGCAGCUAACACUGACUUUUUUGGCGAAAUCUUGGUCUCCUUUUGUUAAAAUCGGCAGAGCAUUGUGUAUCUGUAGCUCAACAGCCAUUCCUUUGCCGAUGGAGAAACUAGGUUGCAAGUCACUUGUUACUGCUGUUUGAGCUAUCGGAAGUGCGGUGAAUGCAACCACUUAGAGGCAAAAUCUCGAAACCUAAUUCUGUCUAUUUCCUUACGUAACUUUCGAGGUAUUUUUUUGCCUCUAUCUCUUAUGAAAGUAACUUUCGACUUUUGGUAGCUCUAAACUACUGUUCUUAUUGACUACUGAUGUGUUGGUAUUUGUAAUGUGAAACAUUUUGAUUUGUUCAUACAAUCAAAUUAAAGGGAUCACAGUGAGGUUGUACCCAGUGAGUCGAUAACCUAUGAAGGAUCUUUCAUGUGGUACUAAAAUCCAUUUCUUUGUUGGUAAUUUCCUCCAAGCACCAUCAAUCCAACCAAAAUGAUCUUUUCAACCAAUAUCGUUAGUGAUGUUUUUUGACAUUUCGAAGAAAAACCUCAUUUCCCCACUUAGUUAAGGCUUGAAGUCUGAGAGCGAGGAGCCUGUGAGUUUUGCAAACUCGACUUACUCGCCACCCUGCUAAAGUCGAUCGGCCGAUCUCUGUAAAGUCGUUGGUGGGAGUUUGAACAAUCUCACGAUGCCGAGAUAUCACGCAAAAUGCUGAUGCCGUCAACUUUCUCAAGGUUGCGAGUUCAACCUUCGAGAUACCGAUGCAAAACAAACAAGCCCUAACUUGAUAUGUACAUAUGUUGCCACCAUUUUAACAACUACAGAAAUGGUUCAUCAUCCAAUGCAGAAAAAAGAAGGAAAAGAGAAUGAAUGAACAUCAUCUCAUCUCAAUCAUGCAUAACACCAUACUGGAAUGCUGAGACAUUAUUCGAGCGAGAGGAAUACAAGUUAAUCUGUGCUGGAAAAGAAACAUAACUUGGAGGAAACUAAAAACAAAAGGAUCUGCGCCUUCUAAGGGUUAGUUAUUCUCCAGGCACAAUACAGAGCAUUUUCCAGUUACCAAAAUUGCGUGCGUCUAGCGAGAAAAAGAACCAGAAAAACUAAACGAAGAAUUUACAGAACAGGAUCAAACAGUUGUUGCAGUGCAUCGCGUGCAAGAUGCGGCAAAACAGAAACAAAAACAAACAAACUGCGUCUUCGGCUCCUCUUAGGCAACGCAGUUCUCUUCCCGAAAAACGUAGUAUGAAAAAACAGAGACGGCCAACACUAGGAGAACCAAUGAAAUAUACUUCCAGCUCGUUUGCAUCGGUUCGAUAUUCGUCACUGCCUCGAGCUUCGACUCUUCGCUUGCAGAGUCUUCUGCGGAAAGAGUAGUCUCGAUUUCCGACUUGGGAACAGGCACAGCUCCAGCUGACUUCACCUAAUCACAUUAAAUCCAGUUUAAGUGCUUCAGAAAAGGGAAUUGGCUAAAUUGCACCGCGCGGGCCAGAACUUUUGGCAAAGUUUUCUUUGUUCCUUGAAAUUCUAAGUUGGAUACUGAUUACUGAACGAACACCCCAAACUUAACAACAGAAGUUUUUCACUUUAGUCUUUGUAUUUAUUUACUGUUACAACAAAAUCUGUGGCCUGCCACCGGUGCAGCUGUACGUCCACAUGUGAUGCAUCCGUUGACCCUCCUCAAUCCCAUCUUGUAAUAAUUAGAAAGUUUGACAGUUGGAUUGAAAGCAUAAGAUGGACGAACGGUCGACGAAUUUUUCGUGCACAGACAUAGGAUGCACGAGUGGGCAAUAACUUUUGGCCUUCAGGUCUUCAAAUUGUAUUAGAUGAAAAGGAAACAUACAUGAUUAUGUGUGUGCAUGUUAUGCAUAUACAAACACAUGCACAAGCUUCUGCGCACGUUUCUGUAUAAGUAUGCAAAUGUACACAUGGUCUGUCUACUGUGGAUAACAUAUUUCUCCAGAGGCAAACAAAUAUUGGCAUACUAGUCAUUGUCAUAUUUCAUAAUAAUUAAAUCUUACGAUAUCAUUCACAUAUUUAAAUUAUCAAAAAUAUAUCAAUGGUCAAAAGAAAUUGGGGAAUUUUAAGUGGUAACAGUAGUACUUAAAUUUCAUUAUAAGAAUAAAUCAAGGGACGAGCAACAGCACCAACCUGAACAUCUGUAGAAGAAGAUUCUGUCGAAGCUUCCUCAGGUGCUUCGGCAGAACCAAGUCCAGCUUGAAUCUCAUUUUCCUUUUCGCCUACAGUGCUACCUGCGUAUUCAUUUUGCUUGCAUUUUUCCGCAAGGAUUUUGUUCUUUUUGGUCAAUGCAGAGAUCUGCAGGUGAAAAUAGACAACAAAUGUUAUGACUCAGGAGGAAAUGGUAUUCAAUACACACAAUUUGAAAUCUGCCAAAGAUAAACAAGUGUUUUUGGCCACUUUAUGGUAUAACACAAGUGUUUUAAGACUUAAAAAGGAUAUGCUUUAUAAUAUCACACAAGAAAGACUAGAGAAGAAACACAUGCUAUUUUGCUAGUUAUAACUGGUGCAAGGACUGCCACACAGAUUAAAGUUCAUUAGUCGAUAUGAAGAUAAAAAUAAGUGCAAAAGAAACAGUAAGAGAAUUAUUAAUCGAUGAAUGUUUGUCCUUACUUCAUUCCUUCCUAAUAACCAGAUUCAUAUGAUAAGUUUAUCUUCGAAGGCCUUACAUUGUUCAUCUCAUAUUCUCAUAUGUUGUCUUGCUUAUUGUUCAUUUCUGUUCUCCAAUUCUAAAAGUUUUCAAAAUGUGUUACUUUUCUUUUGCACUGUCUUAAUCCACAAGGUGAACACAUAAUUAGUUUAUCACAUUGAAAAGUAUCAUGCAGGAAGGUUUACCAUCAUUUUCAUCCAGUUUCACAUAUGUGCAUGUCUGAAUUGAAUAGUUGUAUAACCUGGUACCAUAUCCCAAAUAAAAGUGAACAUCUAUGAAAAGCUAUCGAUGGGAUCUUCGGCAAAAUUAGUGCAACAACAAGAGUCACGUUUAUUUAUUUUCUUUACACCUAUGUAAGUCCAAUUAACUAAAAUGGGUUCUCGAAGCAUACUUGCUUGGUUUGCAGUGUAAGAAAAUGGAUAACUGCUCUGACUUUUUUUUUUUUAUAUAUAUAUAUUCUAUGUAUGUGAUACAUGACAUAUAACAUUAUAACUAUUAUACGUUAUGAAUAUAUAUAAUAUUUCCAGUAUCUAUAUGAUAUGUAUAAAUUAUAUAACAAUAUAUAUACAUACAUAGCAUAUCCUAUUAUAUAUGUGCAUCAUAAUAUUACAUAUCGGUAUACAUUAUAUUUAAUACACAUGUAUAUGACAUUUAGAUAACAUGAAAAAACAUUUACAAUAUAGUUCUAUUAUAAGAAAUGGUGAAGCCUUCAUGUGACCCAUUAGGAAAGUGAGGUGAAACCUGAGCAACAUUGGAAAAAUCAUGCACUGUGGUUAAGGUCACAGAACUUUUCAAUUCAGCUGGCAAAAAGCUAAAACAUGAGAGGGGCCAUUUUCUGGCAAAUCUGGAAAGAGUCUUAUGCGGAAAACCCCUUUACACAGAGCCACAUGCUUGGAAAACUGAUUUUUAGCCUAAAGACUCUUUCCUGGCGUAUUCUCUAUCCAACCAAAUACAUCCUAAUGCAAAUCCCAAGAUAAAAGAUUUAAUGAUGAAGUGAAAAAAUAUACCUGUAAAUAAAGACGUUCUCUUUCCAGUGCUAGUUUUGUGACUAGGUCAGCGAUAACUUUUGUUCUAAUACCUAUGUCUUUGGCACUGGACACUUUUGCAUGUUCAGCUUGACGCAAAGAGUUCUCUAAGAUUUCGAUCCUACUCCUUAGAAAACAAAGUUCUUCAUUAAGCUCCAAAUUGGUUUCAGUCAACAGACUGCACUUAGAUUCAGCACUCUCCGCCCUAGUUUCAGCUUUUGAAACCUUUCCUUUAAGGUCUUCAAUCAUAUGUUCCAUAUCAGCCAUUGUUGACUUGAGCAGGUUCUGUUGUUCCACAAUGGCCUCCACAGAAGCUUUCGCAUGCUCUAGCUGCGUAUCUGAUUCCUUGAGCUUCCUCUCUAAGAAGCUGGCUUUUUCUGAUCCACGACUUUUAAAGACAUUUAACUCUUCAGCAAGCUCCAUGUUAGCUUUCGUCAACUCUGUAGAUUUUGCUUCCGCACCUUCAGCCCUGCUCUCUGUUUUCGAAGCAUUUUGCUUAAGACCUUCAAUGAUACUUUCUAGCACACUUAGUUUAGAAUGCAGAUUGUUUUGCUUUUCCUGACUCGCUUCAACGGAGGCCUUCGCCAAUUGUAAUUGGACAUCUGAUUCCUUUAACUGUUCCUCAAGCACUAAAACUUUCUCCCUCAAAGUCAAGACCUCUGAAUUUGCAGCCAUCCAUUUAUCCUCAGCUUCUUUAAGGCUGGCUUUUAGAUCAUUUUCUUGCAAGAGUAUACUGUCAUCACAAUCCGCACAAUUCAUCUCUUCUUGUAGCUUGGACCUCACCUCGCUUUCUCGACGUAACGAAGCAUUCAGACUGAAUUGAACGGCAUUGAGUUUCCCUGCAAACUCUUUCGAAACUCCUAGAAGCAACUCAGCAGCAUUGUCAGCCUCAAACAAUCUUUCCAUAAUCGUUUCGAUUGAGUCUUCCAGACAGUACGAUUCUUGUUCUGCCUGAUGCAACUUUAAUUUGAGUUCCUCCUCGAUAGAUCUUGAUUCAGAGAGCUUCUUUUCAAGAUCCAGCUCCCUUGCCAAGGAUUUCUCUAACAUCUGUAGAACAUGUCUUUGCUGAUCUGUAGUCUGCAUCGUCCACUUGGUAUUCUUGGGUGCACGAUCACCAUUUUCAGUUAUCCCAUCUUCACCAGCCCCUGCUAAAUUACAUGUAACAGAAACAGGAGUAUUAUACACCUAUAUCCUCAAUGCCAAUAUAACUUUAAGAAAAAGCAAUUUAUCUAAAACUUACAGCAUUUGUUCCGAACAAAAUAUUGGGCGCUUUCAAAUUUAACUGAUUCUUUCCUAAUAUCAGCGACCAAGUCUCGAAACUGCUUCAAGGAAAUUUCAGCAUCAUGCAACUUCACUUCCAUUUUCCUUGAAGAUUCUGCAUGAGAAACUUUUUGGCGGGCAUCCACGAUUUCCAUUUGAAGAGAUGUCAUAAAGUUGUCUAACUCUUUAACCUCAGAGUCUAAAAAUCCAGAUAAUAUGUCAAAUUCAAAAGCCUUCUCUACUGAAUCAUUCAAUACACAGUCAUCCUCGAAAUUAAUAGACUCAAUAUCACUUGCUCUACCAGCAACUUCCAACAGAAGUAUCUCCAAGUUUAGCAACUUCUCAGAAGAGUAUGCAAGUUCAAGUUCCACUCUUGUUAAAAUUUCCAUAGCAGUUCCUUCCCAAUUACAUCUCUCCCCAUUUGGUGGUGCUUUGUUUUGAUAAAAUUCAUCCUCGUGAUCCUCAUCAACAGACAUGAUGUUACUUUUGCUUCCUGCAUUUUGGGAUGGCCAAAUGUUGUAAUCCAUCAGAGAAAUUGUGAAUAGCAUUUCCGUAUGAAAUUCAGUUAGCAAAAUGUUCUAAAGGCAAGAAAAAAAAACAAAAACAAAAGAAGAUCAGAAAGAUUUUAGGUGCAAGGCUAGGGUGCUUUCAACAGCUCUGACACCUUCGUGCUGCCAACUUUAAAUUUGAUCCUAGGGUAUCCAAUGGCCAUGACAUUAGGCUUGACCUAGGGUAUUUGAAAUUUCUAGGAAACAAAAAUCAUGAUCUUUUGACAUUCUCUAACUAAAGAAUAGUGGCCCUGAAAUGGACAAUUUUAAUGGCUCUUGGUUUGGGUAAGGUGCUUGUUCACCUGAACAAUUUAGAACAACCCAAACGAGCAGAAUUUUUUUAAGAUAAUUAUUUAGUUGUGUAGUUAAAAUCAGUGACUAUGAUUUUCAAAUCAAGAAUGUUACCAUCUAUUUACUCAUCUAAAUUUAAACAUCAGUUCCUUGAUUUACACCAUCCACUUCGUAACUGAUGCACCAUAGAAAUAUUUUAGAAAAACGUGCUUUUUGGUUACUAGAAGCUCAAACACUCUAGAUCAGAUCUAUAGGUAUGGAUCUAUGAUACGAUGCCUGAACAUCAGAUUGAAGGUGAAAGCACAAGGGUCUUGAUUCUUCGAAAAGCACCCCAACCUAUAUCUCUGUAUCUGUAUUGUAAUAAAACUAACGUAGCUCUGUCAUAAUAAACUGAAUGAAAAACUAUAUCAUGAGUGAAGGAGCGAGCAAACACAAUAGUUAGCAAGAGAUUUGCAAGUCAAAAGUUCAAUAAAAUUAUCAUAUGCUUGGCUGAUUUUUUGCAUAGAUAUAUGAGUAAUCUAGUAAGCCUCUAUCUAUUUCAAGUACAUAUUUGAUGGUAACUUUGUGAAUCUUUCAAAAACUUCUUGGAGUACUAUGUUUAGGAACUUCAUAUCGCAUUGUGACAGCAGAUCAACAAACUACAAGAGAUUAUGAAACUUCUGUUUGGGAAUGACAUAUUCUGCAAAACCAUCAAGAAGUGAUAACAACAUUAUUCCAAUAUCCUUGCACACUGCAAAGUCAAGUCAAGAGUCAUUUAAACCAUCAUAUACCACUAUAUGGUGGAAGUGGACAACAAGUAUGAACAGCACAUCAACAUGGCCCCCUUGUGUUAACAUAAGUGGGAUGAUACUCAACAGGUAUUCCUCCAAAAGAGCUCUUUCCAAGUCAGGCUUUGUCUACUGCUUCCCCAGCUCCUCAAGGAAGGAGAGCCAAAAGUGAUUUAGAAAGAACCCAAGAAGCCAGAAAAAUUAAUACUUUCAACCAUCCUAUGGCUUCCCAAACAAUUAAAAGAACAAAAUAAAUAAAACAAGAAAACGAAACACUCAACAACUAUAUUACAUACUAAAAGUUCACUACGAGUGGAAAAUAUGCCAAAUCACCCCAAACUCUCGUACAGUUCCAAAGCACCAUCCCCUAUCUCGAAGUUACCAAAAGAAUGAUAAAAUGAAAAUACAAAAAUAAAAUAAAUCAAUAACAAGAACAAAUAUUUGCGAAAUUUCAACCAACCACCUAGAAUUGUACAAAUCGUUAGUACGUAAUUGUCAAAUGACACAUAAAAUUCUAGAUCUUUGAUCAAACUCUUCUUCUUUUAAACAUCUACACAAAUUUAGCAAUGAUGAUAUAACAGCAGAAGUUGCACAACACCACAAAAUUGGGGUUAUUGGUCUAAAAUUGGUAACCGGCAUGUUGGGACUUUUCCGAAUUAAUUUGGUGCAAGAUGGGAAUACAAACUGUUUGAAUAAUUGAGUUCAAAAGGAUUCUUAUUCUGGUCAGAUGUCCUUUUUUAUCAAUUAAUUGAAUUAUGAUAACAACAAAUAAAACAAUUACAUUUUGGUACUCAUUGGCAAGCAAACACAUCUGUUCAACUAAUCUGAUGCUUAAUUAUAAAUAAAGGUCCAAAUUAAAUACACAGCCAAACUAACACUUGUCUAGGUUACAACUUUUGAGUUCUAACCUGGAAUUACAUCUAAGUAUCUAACAUUGCAAACUUAUUAAUGAUUCUAUACCCUAAACCAAUAUCGCUUUUCUCUAAGUCACGCUUUGCCUCGUCUUAAGAACCAUAAAGCAUGACUAACCAUCCCCUCUCAAUCACUUACAACUAACCAAUCCGGCUACAAAUCUUUACACAACAUAAGUGACCUCCUCAUCCAUCUUCCACCCCUUAGUAACAGCAACUCAUGCACAGAUUUAUGAAUUUUAGUUGAUAACUCCCCCACUAGUUGAUUUCAUUAACUAUUGUCAAAUCCAGUUGAUGUGCCUGCUUGCUAGUGCCCUUUUUUCUUUUUUUAAGAAGUUCUGGUUUAGAACAGUAGAUUGCAGAAAAACCAAAAAACAAACAUUAUGUCAUUUGCAAUAAUAAGAGUUAAACGAAACGUAAUGUUGGAUAAUUACUACUAGAUUAGAUACUAGCACCCCUAGAAACUAGGAGAUCAAGAGUAAAACAGAAAUGAUCAGCGAGUGGAGAAACAGGUCAAAAAUAGACAGAAAGAUCGAGAUAUGAAAUCCAUAUUUCACUCAUCCAUUAACUUUAGGAAUUGAAAUUUCUUUUUUCCUGCUCUUGACCAUAUCAAUUGGAUGAUAUGAUCGGAACUUCUGACCCGCCCCCACUUCCCCCUCAAAAUAAGUCCAUUAAUCAUUAUUUCCGAAACCACUGAUGAAGCUAGAGGAUCUCUGCACCUUGAUGUUAUAUUAUUAACUAGAAUUACCUAAGAUUACAAAGACACUUCCAUGCACUGCUGAUUAAAAAUAAGAUAACUUAGAACUCAGCAAUUUUUUACUCAAAUACACUCAAUCGUGCAAUAAUUGCUCGAAUAAGAAAGAUCUUUCACAAUUAAAACCCUCGUACGCCAAUAAUUUUCAUACCUAACCCAAAAUCCUCGCAAAUUAACGACGAAAAAAACUGACUCAAAUCGCAGCAUCUAAAACCUCACAAAUGAGUCGUCAAAACAAAUAAAUAUAAAUUACAAAAACCCCAGUAAAUGGAGCUGAUCACCCACCCACUCUCAAAUACCCAGAUCGAUUUGAUCAAAACAAAACAACAACAACAACAACAACAACAACAACAACAACAACGAGUAACUGUAGCUACGAUUUCCGAGCAACAAACACGAGAGAUUGUUCGAUCAAAGCGCACCUCGACGAACCGAUUCAGGGAAGGAUUGGAGCGGGGAGGUGUCGAUUAAGGGUGGGAAGAGGAGAGGCGAUUUAGGGCUAGGGUUUUGUGAGGGGGCGGGAGAGAGGGGGAAAGGAAACGGUGGGUCACCGUGGCUGUGUACGCUCGCUCGGUGUCGGGAGGGGAGAGGUCGGUCGGUUUUAGUCGGUGGAUGGUUCGACCGGACCGGGGUUCCGGUUCAGUCCGGUUCGGAAAGUUGUGUCUUGGCCAAAUUACACUUCGGUCCUCAAACGAUAAGCUCGUAACAUUUUGGUCCUCAAACUUUAGAUUUUUUUUUUUCUUUUUGGGGGUAAACUUUAGAUACCACCCUUUCGAGCUUUCUCACUUUAGUACUUUGUAAUUUAAAGUGUAUCAAAUUAGUAUCUUGUGAUUUUAUUUUUAUUUUUUCGUCAGUUUCUCCGUGAAUACUUCAUUUAAUUAUAUAAAAAAAACUUUAAAUACUCUAUCUAGAUUUAUCGAAUAGUACUCUUUAGUUUUAACUUUCUCACUGAUUUAACGAAAAAAAUUAGUGGAAUUGAUAAUAAAAAGAUAAAUAUAAAAUCAUAGAGUAGUAAAUUGAUACACUUUAAACCAUAGGGUACUAAAGUAAGAAAAUAUAAAACCACGGGGAUUGUAUUUGAAGUUUUAAUAUACAAUAUAGUUUGAUAUAUAGAUUUUAAUAUACAAUAUGGUUUGAUAUAUGGUAAAGAAAAAUGAUUGUUUUGGGUUCGUUUUUUCUGCUUCAAAUUUGAAUUUUAAAUUUUUGGUCGGAUUCAUUUUGUAUAUAGAUUUUCAAAGCCGAUCAGGCUCAGGUUUGAGUUCAGCUUGCAGCUUUUGAUUGUCGGGUUCGAGUUCAGGUUCAGAUUUAUGAAAUUGCUGUGAAUGUGAUCCCAUUGACAUCCCUACUCACAUUUAUCCGAAGAUUGACAUUUUCAAUUUUCGGACGAGUAGAGGGUAGGGUCAAGUUUGCGAAACUCACUAGUUUUUUGCUUUCUGACUUUCUGUCUCCAAACAGUCCCACAGUCUAAUUUAAUUGAUUAGAUAUUAAGCUGUAGCUAAUGUGAGUGGUGUAGCAUUUUUAUUAUUGAUGCAUCAUCUACUACAAUACUGCCGCAUCCACAAAAUGUCACACUUUAUCAAUUAAAUUGCAUUGCAGAAUUUAACUGUAAUAAUUCAGAAAGUUCGAGCAAAGAUUUAUAUAAAUUAAAGUUAAAGCCAAAAUAUCACCCGCCUCAUCGUUUGAGUACCAAAGUAUAAUUUAGACUUAUGUUUUUCUUAACAAUUUCAUAAAUAUUGAUAUAUUUUCCUCUAAAGUCUUAAUUAUUAAAUAUAUUUUGAAAAUUGUGAAAUUAUCACAGUAAAAAUUUAAUUAUAAAAUAUAUUUCUCUUAAGCAUCAAAAAUAUAAUUUUUUUACAUAGCAUAUUAUUUCAAUAUAAAAUUAUCAUAUUAUCCUUUAUUAAUACUUUCGCUCGAUCAUAAGACACAAUAAAUUGGUUUGGUACACAUUUUUUUUUGAAAAAUUUCAUAGGUACCCUUCCUUUAAUAUAUAAUUACACAGAAACUCUUCUAAAAGUGUCGAUAUCAAAAAUACUAAUUUUAUUUAAAUAAAUUAUCAUAAAAAUUCAUAUCCACAACAAUCCAUCUAAAAAUUAAAUAUAAUUAUCAUUUUGGCCAUUAUAAAUUAUCAAUAGCUUGCAAUAAACUAAAAGAUCUUUUUUUUGAAAAUAUUAUAAAUACAAUUAAAUGGAUACUAAAUAGAAACUAAUUAAUUACAAUAAAUUAAACUACACAAAUAGUAAUAAAAAAAAUCACACUAAGGAAACAUAAAAUGGCUUCACAAAAAAGUAUAAUAUAUCUUUUGUUUUAUUAUUUUUUAUUAAGAUCAACAUGAGAUCUAUAUGAUAGUAAAUAGAACAAAAUAGUAAUAUACUUAAGUAGACAAAAAAGUGCAUUCAUAAACUAAAUUAAAAAAUUGAGUUAUUUUUUCAUGAGAAAUAAAUUUAUUAGCCUCACAUAGAAGUACCACAAAAUUAUGUAUAAUUAGAUAUACCUAGGGGUAAAUUAGUCUAAAGCUCUUAAUCCAUAUGAUGGAGAGUAUAUUUAUUUUAUAUAAUUUAUAACUUACAAAUGUAGAGGAACAAAUUAUUUUUAGAUACUAUUUUAGUGUAAAAUUAUCCCCUUUUUUUUUAAAAGACAUUUUACUAUCUCAUGCAAGACAAAAGUUCAUUAUGCUAAUAUUGAAGGGGUGGUGCACAGCUGAUUUGGUAAACCAGGUCUACUCAUAGUGUCCCCAUUCAGAGUAUUCAUUAUGCUAAUAUUUUUGAGGGAUGGUGCACCAACUGAUUUGGUAAACCCGGUCUACUCAAUAUAAUGUCCCCGUUCAGAUAACACCCUCAACCGAGACCACUCACUCUCCUUUUUUCCCUUCUCUCUCCAAACCCCUCUCUCUCUCUCUCUCUCUCUCUCUCUCUCUCUCGAUCAUCUCCUCAUAGGCAUUCCACAAACCCUUACAAUGCAGCUCGCCACAGCUUCCUCCGCACCUCCUUUCCCCACCCCACUCCCCAAAGCCCUUCCUCGCCCUGCGCCGUCCGCCUCCUCCUCCUCUUCCGCUCGGCUUCGAGCUGCGUCCGUCUCCGGACCGGAGCUCGCGUCCCGCGGCUUCGCGGUGCGGCGCGACGCGGAGGCCUCAGACGUGGCGCCCAUAACGACGGUUCGGCGCGCGGGUUCGGCUUCCCCCCGCCGCGACCCCCGCGCACUUCCGCCGCGCCCGUCCGCCGCCGGCGGCGCCGGCGGCGCCGUCGUGUGGUCCGCCCGUCAGCCGUCGCGGUCGGGCGGCGCGCCCGGUGCGUUCGCAGAGCGGCGACGGGGACGGCUGUUUCAACGCGGUGUGUGGAGCGUGGUGUGGAAUCCGUCGCAACCAGGGCUGGCCGAGGCCGCGCUCGUGGGGAGCGCGUCGUGGCGAGCUACCGCCGCAAGGCGUCGGCAAACAUCGCGCUCUACGCCGAGCCCCGCGUCGUCGGCUCUAUACCGCCCCCUGGGCUCGCCGCGGACCCCGACGGGAUCCGCGCAUGGUCUACUCCCGUAAAAAUCAAAAGAGGAACCGAUGAAGCACAACAACACACAUGAAAAGUAUUUUCACUGCCCUUCUUAUGUAUUAAUUUAUUGAUAAUUGUUGAAAGUGCAGAGCUACUGUACUAUCAAAAGCAUAAAAAAACUUGAUAUUUUUAAAUUUUUGAUCUUUAAAUUAAAAAUUAUACGGUUGGGGAUGAUUGUGGUACGCCCUAAGUUGACUGAUCUCUCAGUGUAAUAAUAUUAAUUCCAAAGAUGAGAAAUAUUAAGGGACUGAUCUAAAAACCAAAAAGUCAGAGCAAUUAGAUUCUGUGUGCUUCGACUAGUAACAAUAGCUCUAUUCUUGUUGAAAUAUAUAAAUAUUAAAAGAUGUAAUUCAUAUACAGGUCUAAUAAAUAAAUAAAUUAAAAUAUAUCUUUACAAAGUUUAAAUUAUAUAUAUGUUAAUGUAAAAGUUCUAAUAUUUUCAAAUAUAUUUUCUGAUUAUUACGUAAAGUUAUUAUUUAUUUUAAUAAUAAAAUAAUAUUUUGGGCCAUUACAAAUAUGUCUCUUUAAAAAUUCCAACUUUAAUUAAAGAAAGGUAAAAAAUAAAUAAUUCACUUGCAAUGAACUAAUAGGUUUAAAGUAUUUUAUCCAUGAUAACUAAUUUUUCUAUCUAACGGGCCAACGGUAAGUGACAUAUUUAAAAACAUCAGUGAUUUUAUAAGAACAAACAUAUAAAAAUUGAACUUUUAGAGGAAUUAAUUUAUCAACUUAUUAUAAUUUACAGGAACUGUAUGGAAAAUACUAUAUUAAAAAUAUUGCGUUUUCUGAUAGCUAGUUAAGUCUUCAGGGACACAAACAGCUUGUUUCAUAUUUUUUUAAGAUAAAAAUAUUGUUGAUCGCAAAUAUUUUUUUACUUCUUUUUUUUUCCUCCUCAAUUUGCUCAAAUUUAUAUUUUAUCUUUCAAAAGUUUCCAUUAAGUUCAUGUACCUUCACUUUAUUUUUGUCAGGAUUUCUAUUGGCUAAUUCUUGCUUAUUUUAAUAUAAUUUAUGACAAUAAAUAUUCUUUAAAAAGGAAGUAAUGUUAGAAAAAGCAUUCUCUCCUCUAAAACCAAGUGUAAGAGAAUGUUGGACAUUUCGGCCCUCUUCCAUUAACGUUCUGUAAUUUUUUAAAAUAUUUUUGAAAUUUUGAAAGCGGCAAAACUUAGAUUGUUUUUGAAGUAGGAAGGAAAAGUGAAAUAGCUAAGUCGCGUAUUUAACAUAGAGAAUUUCGUAUUUUAACCUAUUCUUAAUAUUGAGUAUCGGAUUACUGAUCUCUUGAACAUCUAAUCUUAGAGAAAAAUAUAUUGUUUCGUAUAAUUUAAAAAAAUUAUUAAUAAUUGGUAGUUUAAAUUGCACAUUUGUUCGGAACAAUCAUGACCGCGCUACACUUUUAGUUCUCAAACUUUAAUUAUCGAUUUUCGUCAUUCAGAAUUUUACACAAUGUUACAAAUCAAUUCACAACCUAAUUUAGUUAAAUUAAAUUAUUGACCGCAUUAUUAAGGAACAAGUGACGGCACCAUCUUAAAUUUAUGGUAGCACUAAUAAAAAUACUACUAUACACUUUAAUAUGCGAUUAAUCAUUUAAUCACCAAAUUGGGUUAAUAGAAUUCGAAUGCAAAUAGUUUAAAAUUUGAGUCAGAAAUCUAAACAAAUUAAAUUUGAGGAUCAAGAGUGUCAUAACGUCUAUAUAAUUUUAGAACUCGGAGCAUGUAAUUACUUAAUUUGGGCGUUGUAAAAAAACAAUUAUUUGAAUAAAAUCAUUUUGAAUCAGGCUUUCAAAAUCUUUAUAAAUUUUAAUUCAUUAUAUAGAUCUUCUUACAGUUUGUAGUACUUCACAUAGAAAAAUAAACUUAUAUUAUAUAGUAUAUAAUAUAUAGUGAGGCUACUAUGCUUAUCCAUGAAGCACGGAGUCCUCCGUGCUUCCAGCUCGUUUCGAUGUUGGCCGACUGUUCGGAACGUUGUCGGCCUCCAUUAAAAUGACUCUAGAGUAUUUGUAAGAUUCCUAGAAAAUAAUUUUAUGAUUUUACGUAUAUCAUUGCCUAGUGAACAGAGUGGCUCAAAAAUCAACGACUGAAAAUAAAAUAUCUUUUUAUCAAAAUUUAAUAAAUAUGACAUUUAAAUUGUAAAAUCAAGAUAUUGAUCUUAUUUUAGUAGUAUAUAAAAGAAUUUUCUUAUCAGAGAACUUCUACGUGAUUGGAUAUUUGUACAACCGUUAAACUUUAAAACGGCCACACGCAUAUGAGGAGAUGUGGCCGAAUGGAAAUAUUCCUGUUUUUUGAGCUAUUUCGAUCACCUAGGCAAAUGAUAUCGGAAAGUAAUAAAAUUUAAUUUUCGUAAACUCCAAAUCCUCUGAAUCAAAGUUUUAACGGAGGGUCGAUCGGAGGCAUUCGGAAAGCCCGCACACAGAAACGAGCUGAAGCCAGAAGCUCCGUGGCUUCGAAGCAUAGUAGCCUACUCUCUCUCUUCUCAUUUUCUCUAUAUAUAUAUAUAAGUUCACGUUGAUAGUAUUGAUUGCUAUCGCGAGACAUGCGCACACAAUUCCAUCAUGUUUGCUAAAAUUCUAGCGUUAGACUUAGAGGAAGUGAAACCAUUUAAAAGCCGUGAAUGGCUGGUCAAUGAUUCAACCACUUUCGUAAAAAUUAGAAAGCAGUAAAUCAUUUUGCGUCGUCUCUCGAAAAUGAGUGAAUGAUUCAUGCUCAGGAAUUAUUCGAUUAAGGUCUACGUUUGCAAACAGAAAAUUAUUUGCGCAAAAUAAACUGUUUUAGAGAGAAUUAUUUGCAAUUAAAGGCAAAAUUAUAGCGGUAUAGAAAAAAAAGAAAACCCUGUCACUUCUGCUACACCCUGUAUAGAGGGCGUCUAAUAAACACGACCUAUUAUAAAUAAUUAAUAUUUUAAAUUAGAAUUUAUUAGCACAUUCCAUUUAUAAAUAUUGUAAAGAAUUUACUUAUAAAAAAUAUGAUAAAAUUUUAAAAAAUUAUUACUCAAACAUAUUUUAUUUUUUAUCGUAGGCGGUGGAGGGAUCUAGGAUUCGGCGAGGUGCGCGCGCCGCGCGAGAAAAGGGGGAAUGAGGUCGUCCUCCCUCCGCGAAUGGACCGCAGUUGAGGAUACACCUGGUCGUAUUAACUCUAAUUAAAUUUAAUUUUAAAUUUUAAAAGUUCUAGGGCGUUGUUGUUUGCGUCUCAUCCAUUUUGGGUAGGAAUGAGGAAUCGGUUUGAUCAAAUCCGGUUAAUUUGUGUUUGGUUCGCAUGAAUCGGUUUUGAGGUAUUUCUAUUCCGGACUGAGAAUGGUAAUGACCCAGUUACCUUCAAACUUGAUUCCGGUCUUCUAUGCUGGAUUGAGAUUUUCAAUUCCGAAGCUCACUAAGUCCGUCGAAGCCAUGUGGACCAUCUCACCCUCCUUCUCGUCACCCCUUUCUCAUCAAAAAAAAAAAAAAAAAAAAAAAAAAAAAAUAAACUACCUCAUCUCUCAAAACCCUAUCCCUAACCCACAUUAAUAAAAGUUUUUAAAAAUAAAUUUGAUAUUUUUUUUGAAAAACUUAUUAGAGAAUAGUAUUAUAUUUUUCAUAAAUUUUAAAUAAUAUAAAUUUAUAUUUGAGAGUAAAAUUAGUAUUAUAGUAUCCUAUAAUUUUUUUAGUUUAUACGAACCAAACAAUGAAAUGUGAAUAACUCAUUCCAAUUCCGAAUCCACGAAUAAACCAAACAUCUUGGGGGAGUGGGCCAUUCCAAUUACCAUUCCAAUUUAUUUCCAUUUCAUUAUCCAUUCCAAUUCCACCCUUGAACUAAAAAAGCCCUAAAUAGUUCUAAAAAUCAAAAGUUGUCCAA
rnacentral:lncRNA from 1 species